rnacentral:rRNA from 1 species
AUUGAACGCUGGCGGCAGGCCUAACACAUGCAAGUCGAACGAGUGGCGGACGGGUGAGUAGUGUCUGGGUAAGUGCGCGAUGGAGGGGGAUAAAUACUGGAAACGGUAUCUAAUACCGCAUACCAUCGGAUCUGCCCAGAGGGUUUUCGCUAGUAGGUGGGGUAAGGGCUCACCUAGGCUACGAUCCAUAGCUGGUCUGAGAGGAUGACCAGCCACACUGGAACUGAGACACGGUCCAGACUCCUACGGGAGGCAGCAGUGGGGAAUAUUGCACAAUGGGCGCAAGCCUGAUGCAGCCAUGCCGCGUGUAUGAAGAAGGCCUUAGGGUUGUAAAGUACUUUCAGCCGGGAGGCGUUACUCGCAGAAGAAGCACCGGCUAACUCCGUGCCAGCAGCCGCGGUAAUUC